UACGUAGGAGGCAAGCGUUGUCCGGAAUCACUGGGCGUAAAGGGCGCGUAGGUGGCUGGGGAAGUCGGCGGUGAAAGCCCGGAGCUCAACUCCGGGUCGGCCGUCGAGACUCCUCGGCUCGAGCUCACUAGAGGCAGAUGGAAUUCCGGGUGUAGCGGUGGAAUGCGUAGAGAUCCGGAAGAACACCGGUGGCGAAGGCGGUCUGCUGGGGUGAGGCUGACACUGAUGCGCGACAGCGUGGGGAGCAAACAGG
rnacentral:rRNA from 1 species